CGAGUGCUCCAAGCGUUACCCGGAAUCAUUGGGCGUAAAGGGUGUGUAGGCGGUCGUGCUAGUCUUCUGUCAAAUUCUUCGGCUUAACCGGGGGUCCGCAGGGGAAACGGCACAACUAGAGGAUGCGAGAGGUGAAUGGAACUCAUGGGAGUAGGGGUGAAAUCCGUUGAUAUCAUGGGGAACACCAAAAGCGAAGGCAAUUCACUGGCGCACUCCUGACGCUGAGACACGAAAGCGUAGGUAGCGAAUGGGAUUAGAUACCCCAGUAGUCUACGCCCUAAACGAUGAUCGCUGGUUUUCGAGUAUCGACCCUCUGAGAGACGAAGCUAACGCGUUAAGCGAUCCGCCUGGGUAGUACGGCCGCAAGGCUA
rnacentral:rRNA from 1 species